rnacentral:rRNA from 1 species
AUUGAACGCUGGCGGCAGGCCUAACACAUGCAAGUCGAGCGCGCGGCGGACGGGUGUGUAAUGUAUGGGGACUGCCCGUUAGAGGGGGAGAACUACUGGAGACGGUGGCUCAUACCGCCUAUUGUCUGAUUACCCAUAUGGGAUUAGCUAGUAGGUAAGGUAAUGGCUUACCUAGGCGACGAUCCCUAGCUGGUCUGAGAGGAUGACAAGCCAAACUGGGACUGAGACACGGCCCAGACUCCUACGGAGGCAGCAGUGGGGAAUAUGGCACAAUGGGCGCAAGCCUGAUGCAGCCAUGCCGCGUGUAUGAAGAAGGCCCUAGGGUUGUAAAGUACUUUCAGUCGGGAGGCGUUACCGACAGAAGAAGCACCGGCUAACUCCGUGCCAGCAGCCGCGGUAAUUC